GUAGGGUGCAAGCGUUGUCCGGAAUUAUUGGGCGUAAAGAGCUCGUAGGCGGUCUGUCGCGUCGGCUGUGAAAACCCGAGGCUCAACCUCGGGCCUGCAGUCGAUACGGGCAAACUAGAGUACUGCAGGGGAGACUGGAAUUCCUGGUGUAGCGGUGAAAUGCGCAGAUAUCAGGAGGAACACCGGUGGCGAAGGCGGGUCUCUGGGCAGUAACUGACGCUGAGGAGCGAAAGCGUGGGGAGCGAACAGG
rnacentral:rRNA from 1 species